rnacentral:rRNA from 1 species
CCUACGGGAGGCAGCAGUGGGGAAUAUUGGGCAAUGGAGGAAACUCUGACCCAGCGACGCCGCGUGCGGGAUGAAGGCCUUCGGGUUGUAAACCGCUUUCAGUAGGGAAGAAGCGAAAGUGACGGUACCUACAAAAGAAGCACCGGCUAACUAUGUUCCAGCAGCCGCGGUAAUACAUAGGGUGCAAGCGUUGUCCGGAAUUAUUGGGCGUAAAGAGCUCGUAGGUCGUUUGUUACGUCGGAUGUGAAAACCUGAGGCUCAACCUCAGGCCUGCAUUCGAUACGGGCAAACUAGAGUUUGGUAGGGGAGACUGGAAUUCCUGGUGUAGCGGUGGAAUGCGCAGAUAUCAGGAGGAACACCAAUGGCGAAGGCAGGUCUCUGGGCCAAUACUGACACUGAGGAGCGAAAGUCUGGGGAGCGAACAGGAUUAGAUACCCUGGUAGUCCAGACCGUAAACGGUGGGCACUAGUUGUGGGAACCUUCCACGGUUUCUGCGACGUAGCUAACGCAUUAAGUGCCCCGCCUGGGGGAGGUACGAUCGCAGAUAAACUACAAGAAGUAGAG